rnacentral:rRNA from 1 species
UGGGGAAUUUUGCACAAUGGGCGCAAGCCUGAUGCAGCGACGCCGCGUGAGGGAUGAAGGCCUUCGGGUUGUAAACCUUUUUCGCUCAUGGUCAAGCCGCAGCUUUGGGUUGUGGUGAGGGUAGUGGGUAAAGAAGCGCCGGCUAACUACGUGCCAGCAGCCGCGGUAAUACGUAGGGCGCGAGCGUUGUCCGGAAUUAUUGGGCGUAAAGGGUACGUAGGCGGGUAAGCAAGUUAGAAGUGAAAUCCUGUAGCUCAACUACAGUAAGCUUUUAAAACUGCUCAUCUUGAGAUAUGGAAGGGAAAGUGGAAUUCCUAGUGUAGCGGUGAAAUGCGCAGAUAUUAGGAGGAAUACCGGUGGCGAAGGCGACUUCCUGGCCAUAAUCUGACGCUGAGGUACGAAAGCGUGGGUAGCAAACAGG